GACGAACGCUGGCGGCGUGCCUAAUACAUGCAAGUAGAACGCACAGUUUAUACCGUAGCUUGCUACACCAUAGACUGUGAGUUGCGAACGGGUGAGUAACGCGUAGGUAACCUGCCUGGUAGCGGGGGAUAACUAUUGGAAACGAUAGCUAAUACCGCAUAAUAUUGAUUAUUGCAUGAUAAUUGAUUGAAAGAUGCUAUUGCAUCACUACCAGAUUGACAUGCGUUGUAUUAGCUAGUAGGUGAGGUAACGGCCGACCAAGGCGACGACACAUAGCCGACUGGGGGGGUGGUCGGCCAACAUUGGACUGAGGACACGGCCAGAAUUCUACGGGGAGGAGGAAGAGGGGAACAUUGGCAAAGGACGAAAGGCCGGCCGAGGAACGCCGGGGGGGGGGAGGAGGGUCUCGGAUCGUAAAGCUCUGUUGUAUGAGAAGGACGAGUGUGAGAGUGAAAAGUUCACACUGUGACGGUAUCUUACCAGAAAGCAACGGCUAACUACGUG
rnacentral:rRNA from 1 species